rnacentral:tRNA from 1 species
CUAAGAGAAAAUCCUGUUGAUCAACAGUCAACUGUUCUAUAAUAUAAACUAACUCUUA